rnacentral:lncRNA from 1 species
UCAAUACUUCAGAAGGAAUAUGGACGUAUGAAACCACCUAUACAAGAAAUCUCAGCUGCGAGAUGAAUUUAAUGGAGUCUAUAGCUCCAUUGGAAAUUACGUACAAGAGGAAGUUCUUAUUUGGCCAGAUAAGGAAUGAACUUAACCUUCGCGGAAUGUUUUUUCACCAUUAUCCGGAACGGAUGACCAUCAUGACCAGAGGUGGUCGAUCUGUGUGUGCUGAAAUUCUGCUAUAUUUGGCUGGAGACCUGUCUUGUGCCGUUAUUAAAGUCAGGCCGAUAGGAAGGCGUGCAAAAGUCCGCAUAGACCUCCGCGUGAGAAAUUCUACAAUAUUACGUGGAAUAGUACAACCAGAGUGUAGAAGGCAUUUUCGUCAUGCUGUAAAAAGCAGAUUGACAUAUCAUGAAUACAACCGAGGCUGUCAGUAUGUGUAUAUAUUUUCAACACUUAACGUUAUGGCCUUGAUUGAAUAAAAUAUUUGCUGCUU